AGUGAACGCUGGCGGUAGGCCUAACACAUGCAAGUCGAACGGCAGCACAGUAAGAGCUUGCUCUUACGGGUGGCGAGUGGCGGACGGUUGAGGAAUACAUCGGAAUCUACUUUUUCGUGGGGGAUAACGUAGGGAAACUUACGCUAAUACCGCAUACGACCUACGGGUGAAAGCAGGGGAUCUUCGGACCUUGCGCGAUUGAAUGAGCCGAUGUCGGAUUAGCUAGUUGGCGGGGUAAAGGCCCACCAAGGCGACGAUCCGUAGCUGGUCUGAGAGGAUGAUCAGCCACACUGGAACUGAGACACGGUCCAGACUCCUACGGGAGGAAGCAGUGGGGAAUAUUGGACAAUGGGGGAAAGCCUGAUCCAGCCAUACCGCGUGGGUGAAGAAGGCCUUCGGGUUGUAAAGCCAUUUUGUUGGGAGAGAAAAGCAGCAGGUUAAUACCCCGCUGUUCUGACGGUACCCAAAGAAUAAGCACCGGCUAACUUCGUG
rnacentral:rRNA from 1 species